rnacentral:misc_RNA from 1 species
UUUCCGUUGGUGAACCAGCGGAAGGAUCAUUACAGAGAUCAUGCCCUCUAAGGGUAGACCUCCCACCCUGUGUUAAUACUCUUGUUGCUUUGGCAGGCCGCCUUCGGGCUCUCGGCUCCGGCUGAGGUGCGCCUGCCAGAGGACCCCAACUCUGUGUUUAGUGUCGUCUGAGUACUAUAUAAUAAGUUAAAACUUUCAACCACGGAUCUCUUGGUUCUGGCGACGAUUAAGAACGCAGC